UGGGGAAUAUUGGACAAUGGGGGAAACCCUGAUCCAGCGACGCCGCGCGUGUGAAGAAGGCCUGCGGGUUGUAAAGCACCUUCGAUGGGAACGAAAUGUGCCGGGCUAAUACCCCGGCAAGCUGACGUUACUCAAUGAAGAAGCACCGGCUAACUCUGUGCCAGCAGCCGCGGUAAUACAGAGGGUGCAAACGUUGCUCGGAAUUAUUGGGCGUAAAGCGCACGUAGGCGGCUUAGCAAGUCGGAUGUGAAAUCCCUCGGCUCAACCAAGGAAGUGCAUCCGAAACUGCUGAGCUUGAGUACGAAAGAGGAUCGCGGAAUUCCCGGUGUAGAGGUGAAAUUCGUAGAUAUCGGGAGGAACACCAGUGGCGAAGGCGGCGAUCUGGGUCGAUACUGACGCUGAGGUGCGAAAGCGUGGGGAGCAA
rnacentral:rRNA from 1 species